GGCAGCAGUGGGGAAGUAUUGCACAAUCGGGCGCAAGCCUGAUGCAGCCAUGCCGCGUGUAUGAAGAAGGCCUUCGGGUUGUAAAGUACUUUCAGCAGUGAGGAAGGUGGGUAUGUUAAUAGCAUAUUCAUUUGACGUUAGCUGCAGAAGAAGCACCGGCUAACUCCGUGCCAGCAGCCGCGGUAAUACGGAGGGUGCGAGCGUUAAUCGGAAUUACUGGGCGUAAAGCGCAUGCAGGUGGUUUGUUAAGUCAGAUGUGAAAGCCCGGGGCUCAACCUCGGAAUUGCAUUUGAAACUGGCAAACUAGAGUACUGUAGAGGGGGGUAGGAAUUUCAGGUGUAGCGGUGAAAUGCGUAGAGAUCUGAAGGAAUACCGGUGGCGAAGGCGGCCCCCUGGACAGAUACUGACACUCAGAUGCGAAAGCGUGGGGAGCAAACAGGAUUAGAUACCCUGGUAG
rnacentral:rRNA from 1 species